rnacentral:rRNA from 1 species
UACGUAGGGGGCAAGCGUUAUCCGGAUUUACUGGGUGUAAAGGGAGCGUAGACGGCCGUGCAAGCCAGGAGUGAAAGCCCGGGGCCCAACCCCGGGACUGCUCUUGGAACUGUGCAGCUGGAGUGCAGGAGAGGUAAGCGGAAUUCCUAGUGUAGCGGUGAAAUGCGUAGAUAUUAGGAGGAACACCAGUGGCGAAGGCGGCUUACUGGACUGUAACUGACGUUGAGGCUCGAAAGCGUGGGGAGCAAACAGG